rnacentral:tRNA from 1 species
GCCUGGCUGGCUCAGUCAGUACAGCAUGUGACUCUGGAUCAUGGGGUUGUGGGUUCAAGCCCUACACUGGGUG